rnacentral:lncRNA from 1 species
UUAUGCACAUUUUAACCAUCAGUAUAUAUUAUCACUUGUUGCUUAAAAACAUUAUCCUUGUAUGAAAUAACAUCACAAUAUCAAUCAUAUUAUUUAUUGACAGACCGAUAUUCUAAUAAAAAACAAGAUAGCAUUAUGUUAUUACAAUAUAUGUGAAUACCAACUCCAAAUCUAUGUCUAGACUCUAGAUAAUGAUAAAUGGUUAUCUAGGUUUAAAUCUAAC